rfam:Salmo salar isolate Sally breed double haploid chromosome ssa07, whole genome shotgun sequence.
UGCACGCUUGACUGUAAGUCACUUUGGAUAAAAGCAUCUGCUGAAUGCCAUAUA